AAAAUUUCUCCACUCUGCUGCGACCAAUUUUAAAUGAGUUACUAACUUAAUGAGGUAAUAAUGGCCUAGUGAUCAGAAACUCAAUAAUAACACCAAAAUAUCAGUAGUUUGGACAACCAAAACAAAGUUAAGAAUCUACUAGACUCCCAAGCUAACAGCUGGAAUAUGAAAGUGGGAGCUCAGUAACCAGUCAGAAAAUCUAUUUCAGAAGUCUACUUUAAUUGAUUUAAGAAUACUGUUAACCAGUUCUUUAUCAUAAUUCGUAAAAGGUUGGGAUAAAACUUGUCUUUUCUGCCCUAGAAAACUUGAGUAAACUGUGGAAUUGGAUACUCCAGAUCUCUGAGAAAAUGAAAAAUGGUUUUGCAGAGACCCCUUAAUAUUAUUAUUUACCAUUGUUUUGUUAAAAAAAGCCAAACAUUACCUUAUUUUCUCAUGAAAUAUAAUUAAGUUAUCUUCUUCUACACCAACAAUCUGUAAAAAUAAAAACAUUGUAACAUGAAAAACAAUACAGCAACGAAACAAAAAAGAUAGGUUUACGAUGCAACUCAUGGAAUGAAAAUAAUCAUGAAAAUAAAC
rnacentral:lncRNA from 1 species